rnacentral:lncRNA from 1 species
GGCACUUAAUUGAUAAGUGCUAUAAGAUUCAUGGGUUUCCUCAAAAUAUCAAAUACAACAAGGGAAGGAAAUCUGCUGCUGCUCAUGUCUCCACUAGUGAGGAAAGUGUGUCUGCUAAACAUGGGAAUCCUAAUAUGUCUGUUCCUUUUGGGGAUCCUCCUGGCAGCCAUCACCAUGUUACAAACAUAGAUGGCCAAAAUUCUGUGAUACCAGGGUUGAGCAGACAACAAUAUGAUCAAUUGCUGAGCUUAUUGCAACAGACCCAGUUAGGAGAUUCCAGUGCUCAGGCUCCUCCUCCCAUGUAUGCUGCUAAUUUUGCUGGUACUAUGUUGAUUGAGAGUCUUGUUUCUGAUUCCAAAUUAUGCAUGCUUACACACACUAAUUCUGUCACCUGGAUCAUAGAUUCAGGGGCAUCUAAUCAUAUGACACAUGAUAAAAACUUACUCUUUAACAUCAUACCUUUGACUGUUCCUUAUCUUGUAACUUUGCCUAAUGGUUACAAAGUGAAAGUAACUUGUACAUGUUCUUUUGCAUUAACUUCUUUCAUUACUCUUCACAAUGUACUGCUUGUCCCUUCCUUUAAACACAACUUGAUUUCUGUCCACAAGUUGGUAAAACAGUUGCACUGUAUAGUUUUGUUUACUCCACAUGGUACAGGACCCUUCUCUGAAGAGGCUUCUGGAUCUUGGUAAAGAGGAAGCUGGUCUAUACAAAUUGUCUUGGGUUCCACCUUCUCCUUCUUCCUCUAUUGAAUGUUCAUCUACUUCUGUAUGUGCUUUGUCUAAUUCUUGUAAUGAUGACAAUAUGUCUGACAGCAAGGAUGUUGCAUUGCCUUCAACUGUGAAUAAUUCCAUUUGUAAUAAUGUUGUUACAACUGAUAUGAAUUACAUUUGGCAUUUAAGACUAGCACAUACUUCCUUUGCAAAUAUUAGACAUAUUUCUGGUUUAUCUUUUCCAUUUGCUUCUAAACAACCUUUUCCUUGUUCUGUCUGUCCUAUGGCCAAACAAACCAGACUCCCUUUUCCUGAUAGCAGUAUCAGAAGACUAGCACAUACUUCCUUUGCAAAUAUGAGACAUAUUUCUGGUUCUUCCUUUCUAUUUGCUUCUAGACAACCUUUUCCUUGUUCUGUUUGUCCUAUGGCCAAACAAACCAGACUCCCUUUUCCUGAUAGCAGUAUCAAUACUACUAAGCCUUUUCAAUUGAUACAUGUGGAUACUUGGGGACCUUACCAUACUUCCACUUCUUCUGGUUGUAGAUAUUUCCUUACAAUAGUUGAUGAUUUCUCUAGGGCAACCUGGACACACUUAAUGGGCUCUAAAAGUAAUGCCUGCUCCUUGCUCAAAUCUUUCAUCUGUUUGGUUAAAACUCAGUUUAAUACUAUGGUUCAAACUGUUAGAAGUGACAAUGCUUUAGAAUUGGGGUCUGGCAAUGAGGGUAUAUCUUUCUUAUUAGCCAGGGGAUUAUUCAUCAAACCUCCUGCCCUCAUUCAUCUCAACAGAACGGUGUUGUUGAAAGGAAGCAUAGAACCCUUCUUGAAACAUGUAGAGCCUUACUUUUUCAAUAUGGAAUACCUGUAUCUUUCUGGGGGGAUUGCCUGUUGACUGCUACUUAUCUCCUUAACAGAAUACCAUCCAGAUUACUUCACAAUAAGUCUCCCAAUGAAAUUUUGUAUGGGAAAGCUCCAUCCUAUUCUCAUUUGAGGGCAUUUGGGUGCCUUGCUUAUGCUACUGCCCCCACUCCUCAAAGGGACAAAUUGAAGCCUAGAGCCCUCUCUUGUGUUUUUCUGGGUUACCCAUUUGCCAAAAAACGGUUAUAAACUGUAUGAUCAGGCUUCCAAGAAAUGUUUUAUCUCCAAGGAUGUCAUAUUCCAUGAAACAUAUUUUCCUUUUAAGAAUAAACCUUCUUCUGCUCAUUCUUCUCCUUCAUCCCUUCCUUUCAUUCCUCCUGCUGAGCAUUCCACUGACACCACCUUUCCUAUACAUGCUUCCUCUCCUUCUUCCCCUACAUCUGUUGCUACAUCUGUUCCAGCCCCUAAUUCUACUGUUCCUGAUUUUACAGAUACUGAUCCAUCUCCCCUUCCUUCUUUCAAUCCUGAUAUCUCUCCUCCUGUUUUACCUUCUUCACAAUCUCUUCCUGCUCCUAGAAAAUCCACUAGACAGCAUAAUCCUCCUUCCUAUCUUAAGGAUUAUGUCUGCCAACUCCCUGCCUUUUCUGGAUCCUCUUCCUUCCCAACCUCUUCCUGUUCCUAGGAAAUCCACUAGACAGCAUAAUCCUCCAUCCUAUCUUAAGGAUUAUGUCUGUCAACUCCCUGCCUUUUCUGGAUCCGCUUCUUCUACUUUGGAAUCUGAACCUUUAUAUUACUCUCAAGAUGCACCUGUUGCAGCAUGGCAGGAUGCCAUGAGACAGGAGUUUGAUGCUUUGG